rnacentral:rRNA from 1 species
GAUGAACGCUGGCGGUAUGCUUAACACAUGCAAGUCGAACGGACUCUUCGGAGUUAGUGGCGGACGGGUGAGUAACGCGUGAGAAUCUGGCUUUGGGUUCGGGACAACCACUGGAAACGGUGGCUAAUACCGGAUGUGCCGAGAGGUAAAAGAGAAAUUGCCUGAAGAUGAGCUCGCGUCUGAUUAGCUAGUUGGUGAGGUAAAGGCUCACCAAGGCAGCGAUCAGUAGCUGGUCUGAGAGGAUGACCAGCCACACUGGGACUGAGACACGGCCAAGACUACUACGGGAGGCAGCAGUGGGGAAUUUUCCGCAAUGGGAGAAAGCCUGACGGAGCAAUACCGCGUGAGGGAAGAAGGCUCUUGGGUUGUAAACCUCUUUUCUUAGGGAAGAACAAAAUGACGGUACCUAAGGAAUCAGCAUCGGCUAACUCCGU